AUUGAACGCUGGCGGCAGGCCUAACACAUGCAAGUCGAGCGGCAGCGGGAAAGUAGCUUGCUACUUUUGCCGGCGAGCGGCGGACGGGUGAGUAAUGCCUGGGAAAUUGCCCAGUCGAGGGGGAUAACAGUUGGAAACGACUGCUAAUACCGCAUACGCCCUACGGGGGAAAGCAGGGGACCUUCGGGCCUUGCGCGAUUGGAUAUGCCCAGGUGUGGAUUAGCUAGUUGGUGAGGUAAUGGCUCACCAAGGCGACGAUCCCGAGCUGGUCUGAGAGGAUGAACAGCCACACUGGAACUGAGACACGGUCCAGACUCCUACGGGAGGCAGCAGUGGGGAAUAUCGCACAAUGGGGGAAACCCUGAUGCAGCCAUGCCGCGUGUGUGAAGAAGGCCUUCGGGUUGUAAAGCACUUUCAGCGAGGAGGAAAGGUUGAUGCCUAAUACGUAUCAACUGUGACGUUACUCGCAGAAGAAGCACCGGCUAACUCCGUGCCAGCCGCCGCAGUAACAC
rnacentral:rRNA from 1 species